GCCUGAUGAGUAUAAGUUAGUAGAUCAGGUAGCUGCAGGAUUUGAAUCAUCCCUCUGUUGGUGGUGUACAGUAAACAAAAAUGUUGAUUGUAUUAAUUACAUACAUUACAACAUCCAAAGGCUAGGCAAUUGGACUCAGCAGGGUUUUGAAGCUGUACAUGGUCAACUGGCUGCAACCAGCCUGAUGGCUUUCCAAAAUCGUAUUGCCAUUGAUAUGUUACUCUCUGAGAAGGGCGGAGUUUGCUCUAUGUUUGGUGACCAGUGUUGUACUUUCAUCCCCAAUAACACAGCUUCGGAUGGUAGCUUGUCGGCCGCUUUGGAGGGUCUGCGGACGCUUAAUGGUAAAAUGAAAUCUCAUUCUGGGAUAGAUUCCUCGAUGUGGGACUCCUGGAUGAGUGCGUUUGGUAAAUAUAAAACCCUGGUUUCCUCCAUUUUAGUCUCCAUUUCAGUGUUUGCUGCCAUCUUAGUUCUCUGUGGAUGCAGUUGCAUUCCAUGUAUCCGGUCCCUUACUACUAGAGUUAUCUCUAAAGCUAUUGACCCUGCCUCCCCUUCCCAGAUGUAUCCUCUGCUUGCUAAUGACCUGCCAGAGUUUGAGGAUGAGGUGGAGAAUACCCUUUAGAGAGUGUCACAUCUCUUUGGAGAUGUGAAGAGAGGGUAUCACAACUUUUUCCGGCUGGAGAAAGUUGGCUUAUGUAGAAUAUCAUUUUUACUUUCAUUUUGAGCUGUUGUUCUCCGCUCUGUUACAUGAGGGUGGUAAGUUCCUAGGUGGCUGGUAGCCAACUUAGUACAUAGUGGGAUUGAGUGGAGAACUUGGUGGUAAUACAUAUACAUCCAUUUCUUUUUAAUGUUGUGCCUUUUUCAUAGCCCCUUUGGGAAAAGUUUUCUUUUGUAUCAGAAUCUAGUUAGGUUGUGUCACGUCUCUGGGGAGACGUGAAGAGAGGGAUUUGUAGAGGACUGCUAAUUCCUAUGUAGGUGACAUUACAUUACUGCUAAUUCCUAUGUAGGUGACAUUACACUACUAUAGCUGAGACACAUAGUAAAACAGGUUGGGCCCCAUACAGGAUAUUUCUCACACACACACUCACUUAAACCAUCCACAACACUGUCACAACAGGAUACUCCUAGCCACAGGUGCUAGCCAUCAGUUCGGCCACAACUCCCCAGAAGAUAGGGACGCACACACAUUACACACGGACUCUCGAGGACAGGACAGGGACGCAUACGCUCUUACACACUGACCCCAGAAGACAGGGACGACGCACAUACAGUACACACAUAGCUGCCGAGGACACCCAGAUAAGACACCCACACAUUGGCAGAAAGCCUAGACUUAAGAGACAAACUAAGCACACACACAUAAUUUCCCUCCCAGCCGAACAUUGUAUGACUGAGGAUAGCGCACACACCAAAUCUCCUUUUCAGCUGAACAUGGUGUGACGACCAAGAACAGGCAUGGCAGGAUUCUACGAUGACGGACAGACAACAGAGCCAAUGCCGGAUGACUACACCCCAGCCUGAUCCAAUCCGAAGAUCCGAUCUCCUAGAUAUCAACCUACUUUCUGUUCUGUAUAUGAAGCUUGUACCCAUUGUUAGCUAGUGCCUUCUGCUAGUCUCUGAUGAGCUAGCAGAGGGGCCCGUAUAUACGUUGUACCAGAUAUCUUUACUCUGAAUAAACUGUCAGCUUGUCAUAUAAUUGA